rnacentral:lncRNA from 1 species
AUGUCCUUCUCAUCCAGUCAUCCCUGGCAUCAGCAUCUUCCUGGAAUUUACAUAGAGGAAGGAGAAGAUAAAGGAAAAAAGCCAACAUUGACCUCUAUCCAGCAUCCAGCCCACUCGCCUUCUGCCUGGGGACUGCUGAUGGUACUGUCAGCUGUUCAAAGAGCUCUGCCUGUUUAUUGAUGAGCUGUCUAAAAGAUUCAACAGGUAAACACAUUCCUGGCCCAAACAGUGAUAACAAGGUAACACAGCUGUGGCUUGGCCAGAAGAUUAUUUUAAAAUAGUCUGGUGGUAUUAAGGCUUCCUAUUUUCAUCUGUAUUUGAGGGAGAAUCACCACAGUAAACAGAGCAUCUUUCCUCUCAACAGCUACUGCAGGCCAGCCUGCAUACAAAUGCUGCACUCAUUUAACCCUCUUACCUUUUCCUCUCCCAUUUAUUAAAUUUCAGAGCUUUACCUAUGCUGUCUCCCUUAAUCCUCACAAUCUAUGGAGCAUUUGUAUUAGCUCCUUUAUAUAGAUAAGGCAAUGGAGGCUCAAAGAAAUUAAGCAGUCUGUUUAAUAUCAUACAGCUUGUAAAUUGUGAAUCUGGGAUUCAGACCCAGAACUGAUGGACUCUGAAAACUCUUUCCACUGGGUACCACUACUCAAUUUUUACUUUGAUGUUUGUGUCAUGUUCUGUUAGGUGAGGACACAUCUAUAAAUGGGUCUUCUCUUUUUUCUACUUCUCAUUUAUUCUUCCUCUACUUGGUGACACAGUCAAUAUCUAGUGUUUACUGGGCAUCAAUUAUCUUCUGUGUCCUAAAAAUGAUCUCAUUUAAUCCUCACAACAACUCUAGAAGUAAAUGCUAUUAUCAUCAAAAUUUUAUAGUUGAGGAAUUUGGAACUUUAGAGAAACGUAGUAACAUGCAAAGGUUUCUGUGUAAUUAGGUGGGAGAACUGGGGCAAGGUGGAAAUGAAUGACCUCAAUAGGUAUUCAAACCCACUAUCACAGAAUCAAAUAACCACUCUUUAGAUCAAUAGGUUUCGGACGAUAAGCUUGUGUGUAUCUCUAGCUCCUGACUAGGCUGCACUGCACAGUCUGGGUAGCCAUCAACGGCCUCGGGGGUCAGUCUACAAGCAACCAGAAAACAUCCUUGAGAUCAGUCAGAAAAGGAACUGUUGCCAGUUGACUCAGGUUUCCACCU